UCUAGUAUAAACUACUUUACGACUGUAGACAUAGUGAAUAGUGUCUCAUUAAAUCAUAUAUAGUAUGUGAGAUGGCCUCUAGUACAUGGAUAAACCGGGGAAAUUUAAAACUUAUACCUGGUAACAAACUCCACUUCCUGGGGAGGGUAUUUAUUAUAUAAAAAACGACUGCCCUUCGGGGGUCCUUGGCGAAUCAUAAUAAUUUUAACAAUACGGAGCCCUUGGGCCUUGUACCGGUCAUUCAUAUUUCUGCCCUAUGCCCUUUCAAUUGUCGAAGGUUGGAUUACCAUGGACUAUGGGGGUAACGGGGGAUUAAGAAUUAAGUCCCGAUACGGAACAUGGAAACCGACAAACGGCUCCCACGAACGAAGAAGGCACCCAGAUUACCCAUUACCCAAUCCUGAAAGUAGGAAGUAUUGAUAAUGAAUAACGGUUCUUUGGUCUACUAGACUGGGAAUUGGAACGAUUUCAAUCCAUUUCCCAUAACCAAUAUCCAGUGAAGGCCGGGGCCGGUGCCCGCAGUCAUUCCAAUUCCAAUUCCAAUAAUUAAUAUUUAAGCUGUUGAAAAUAACAAACUUGAACCUUGACCCUGGCUGGCCUCGCCCCCUCCCCCCUCGGAGAGGUCCGACCGGGUCUUUCCUUCUAGGGAAGAUGCUGUCCUUCACUGGACUGGCCGGGGAACCCCGACUUUUCUGUUACAAUAAUUAAAUUGUACAGCUCAAGGCAUUCCUCCACUCUGUAUACAUGGAAUAUGUGGAUAACAUACGUAGGGAGUUCUAUUUCUGUUGUGUUCUAACGACCGCCAUCAGUGAUUAUGAUGGACAAGGCAGGGGGGAUCAGUAUUCCUAUCGUCAUAAAGGGGAAAUGCUUGUAUUGAAUGAAAAAUAACAUAAUGCGAAAGCGAUUUGCCUAUGGCAGGGGUUCUUUUACCUUAAUAAACGAACGAUAG
rnacentral:rRNA from 1 species